rnacentral:rRNA from 1 species
UGGGGAAUAUUGGACAAUGGGCGCAAGCCUGAUCCAGCCAUGCCGCGUGUGUGAAGAAGGCCUUCGGGUUGUAAAGCACUUUUGUCCGGAAAGAAAAGCUCUCGGUUAAUACCCGGGGGUCCUGACGGUACCGGAAGAAUAAGCACCGGCUAACUUCGUGCCAGCAGCCGCGGGAAUACGAAGGGUGCAAGCGUUACUCGGAAUUACUGGGCGUAAAGCGUGCGUAGGUGGUUUGUUAAGUCUGAUGUGAAAGCCCUGGGCUCAACCUGGGAAUGGCAUUGGAUACUGGCGAGCUAGAGUGCGGUAGAGGGGUGUGGAAUUCCCGGUGUAGCAGUGAAAUGCGUAGAGAUCGGGAGGAACAUCUGUGGCGAAGGCGACACCCUGGACCAGCACUGACACUGAGGCGCGAAAGCUAGGGGAGCGAA